rnacentral:lncRNA from 1 species
AGACUGAUGAUCAGAAGGAGCCGAGUUGGUUCUUUCUCCCCAGUAGACUGGGUACGAGUAGCCAGCUAGAGACACUUAACGAAAAUUAGCAAAUCCAAAAGCACCAGGCGCCAGUGAGACGACACAGACCGAGACUGACACUCAAUUAUCCCCCCAAACAAUCGCAGGCAAACACACAGGCAGAACCUGAUCGAUAUCAGUCCCGCAGUGAUCUCCUUACUGAGAUGCUAAUUCACUUAUUAGGGCUUGCUCAGAAGCCAGCUAGCUAACACACCCAAGUCAGGUUAGCUCUUUGGGGAUUUGGUUCGAAACUCUCUCCAGUGAACUCCCUACAGAACUGUAACAAACUACAUUGAAAACCACGGGAAAACUUGCCUUUUAAGACCAUCCUAUGCAAACAUCUCCAGCCAAAGCAGGAUACCUGGUAUUAUCUCAGCUGAUUCUCACAGUAAACCCAUAAGAGAGCUGGCUGUUAUAACAUUUACCAACAUACCCCUGCCCAAAGCCUUGCAAAGAAAAGAAAAAGACAAGCCAUGAUGAAAAACAGGGUGGUU